rnacentral:rRNA from 1 species
UAGGGAAUCUUCCGCAAUGGGCGAAAGCCUGACGGAGCAACGCCGCGUGAGUGAUGAAGGUCUUCGGAUCGUAAAACUCUGUUAUUAGGGAAGAACAAAUGUGUAAGUAACUAUGCACGUCUUGACGGUACCUAAUCAGAAAGCCACGGCUAACUACGUGCCAGCAGCCGCGGUAAUACGUAGGUGGCAAGCGUUAUCCGGAAUUAUUGGGCGUAAAGCGCGCGUAGGCGGUUUUUUAAGUCUAAUGUGAAAGCCCACGGCUCAACCGUGGAGGGUCAUUGGAACUGGAAAACUUGAGUGCAGAAGAGGAAAGUGGAAUUCCAUGUGUGGCGGUGAAAUGCGCAGAGAUAUGGAGGAACACCAGUGGCGAAGGCGACUUUCUGGUCUGUAACUGACGCUGAUGUGCGAAAGCGUGGGGAUCAAACAGG